GAUGAACGCUGGCGGCGUGCCUAAUACAUGCAAGUCGAACGAAACUUCUUUAUCACCGAGUGCUUGCACUCACCGAUAAAGAGUUGAGUGGCGAACGGGUGAGUAACACGUGGGCAACCUGCCCAAAAGAGGGGGAUAACACUUGGAAACAGGUGCUAAUACCGCAUAACCAUAGUUACCGCAUGGUAACUAUGUAAAAGGUGGCUAUACUACCGCUUUUGGAUGGGCCCGCGGCGCAUUAGCUAGUUGGUAGGGUAAAGGCUUACCAAGGCAAUGAUGCGUAGCCGAAUUGAGAGGUUGAUCGGCCACAUUGGGACUGAGACACGGCCCAGACUCCUACGGGAGGCAGCAGUAGGGAAUCUUCCACAAUGGGCGAAAGCCUGAUGGAGCAACGCCGCGUGGGUGAAGAAGGUCUUCGGAUCGUAAAACCCUGUUGUUAGAGAAGAAAGUGCGUGAGAGUAACUGUUCACGUUUCGACGGUAUCUAACCAGAAAGCCACUGCUAACUACGUG
rnacentral:rRNA from 1 species